rnacentral:rRNA from 1 species
CCUACGGGCGGCUGCAGUGGGGAAUAUUGGACAAUGGGGGGAACCCUGAUCCAGCCAUGCCGCGUGUGUGAAGAAGGCCCUCGGGUUGUAAAGCACUUUCAGUGAGGAAGAACGCCUGGUGGUUAAUACCCAUCAGGAAAGACAUCACUCACAGAAGAAGCACCGGCUAACUCCGUGCCAGCAGCCGCGGUAAUACGGAGGGUGCGAGCGUUAAUCGGAAUUACUGGGCGUAAAGCGCGCGUAGGUGGCUUGAUAAGCCGGUUGUGAAAGCCCCGGGCUCAACCUGGGAACGGCAUCCGGAACUGUCAAGCUAGAGUGCAGGAGAGGAAGGUAGAAUUCCCGGUGUAGCGGUGAAAUGCGUAGAGAUCGGGAGGAAUACCAGUGGCGAAGGCGGCCUUCUGGACUGACACUGACACUGAGGUGCGAAAGCGUGGGUAGCAAACAGGAUUAGAUACCCGGGUAGUC